GAAAAGAACUUUGAAGAGAGAGUUCAAGAGUACGUGAAACCGUUCAGGGGUAAACCUGAGAAACCCAAAAGAUCGAAUGGGGAGAUUCAUCGACGACGAAGCUGGCUCCCGUUGGCGUGCGAUUCCCCCGUUGGGACCUCGGUUCCAGAACGCGGGGUACACCCCUUCGGCGAACAACCGGCGACGUAGUCGUGCACUUCUCCCUUAGUAGAACGUCGCGACCCGUUGUGUGUCGGUCUACGGCCCGGGCUACUUGCCUGUCGCGGUGGCAUUCGUUCGCUCGCGGCAGAGGCUCGGUCGCCCGGCCGGCUGCACGACGGUACUCCGACGGUAUCGGGCCGCAACCAGUCCAUUCUCGAAUGGUAUAUGCGUCCAGGCCCGUCGCAAGCUCGGACAGCACCCGGAGCGUGUGGACGCAGCGCCCUCCCCGGGUCUGGCCAGCUGUUAGCAGACGGUGUCCUCGGACCGGCCAAGCUUCGAAUUACCGGUCAGCGACGCUAUUGCUUUGGGUACUCUCAGGACCCGUCUUGAAACACGGACCAAGGAGUCUAACAUGUGCGCGAGUCAUUGGGACAUUGAAACCUAAAGGCGAAAUGAAAGUGAAAGUCGUCGUAAGCGUCGACCAAGGGAGGAUGGGCCGCGUCACGUCGCGGCCUCGCACUCCCGGGGCGUCUCGUUCUCGUUGAGAAGAGGCGCACCCAGAGCG
rnacentral:rRNA from 1 species